rnacentral:rRNA from 1 species
CCUACGGGUGGCAGCAGUGGGGGAUAUUGCACAAUGGGGGAAACCCUGAUGCAGCGACGCCGCGUGGGUGAAGAAGUAUUUCGGUAUGUAAAGCCCUAUUAGCAGGGAAGAAAGAAGACGGUACCUGACUAAGAAGCCCCGGCUAACUACGUGCCAGCAGCCGCGGUAAUACGUAGGGGGCGAGCGUUAUCCGGAUUCACUGGGUGUAAAGGGAGCGUAGACGGCCGUGCAAGCCAGGAGUGAAAGCCCGGGGCCCAACCCCGGGACUGCUCUUGGAACUGUGCGGCUGGAGUGCGGGAGGGGCAGGCGGAAUUCCUGGUGUAGCGGUGAAAUGCGUAGAUAUCAGGAGGAACACCGGCGGCGAAGGCGGCCUGCUGGACCGCGACUGACGUUGAGGCUCGAAAGCGUGGGGAGCGAACAGGAUUAGAUACCCUGGUAGUC